CUUUUCUUGGUUAAAUAUGAAGUAUAACCUGCUCAAUGAAAAUUUAAAUAGCCGCGGUAUAAUGACCGUGCAAAGGUAGCAUAAUCAUUAGUCUUUUAAUUGUAGGCUGGAAUGAACGGUUGGACGAGAUAAUUUCUGUCUUUAUUUUAUUAGGUUGAAUUUAAUUAUUGUGUUAAAAAGCUCAAAUUAUUUUUUGGGACGAGAAGACCCUAUAGAGUUUUAUAUUUUUAAGAAAAAUUUAUUUUUUUUGUAUUUGGAUAAAUUAUUGAAAGUAUUUAGUUGGGGUGAUGUGAAGAUAAAUAUAACUCUUUAUAUUUUUGUUUAAAAAUUAUUAUGUUUAUGAUCCAUUAUUGAUGAUUAGAAGAUUAAAUUACCUUAGGGAUAACAGCGUAAUCUUUUUAGAGAGUUCUUAUUGACAAUAAGGAUUGCGA
rnacentral:rRNA from 1 species